rnacentral:SRP_RNA from 1 species
UGUCGGUCCCCUCGCAAUGACAGGCUGUGAACCCCGCCAGGCCCGGAAGGGAGCAACGGUAGCAGCCAAUGCAUGUGCCGGGGUGUGGCUGGCAGGA